rnacentral:rRNA from 1 species
GUGCCAGCCGCCGCGGUAAAACGUAGGACGCGAGCGUUAUCCGGAGUUACUGGGCGUAAAGGGCAGGUAGGCGGUGAGCUAAGAUGGCUGUGAAAUCUCCUGGCUCAACUGGGAGGGUGCAGUUGUGACUGGCUCACUGGAGGGCGGCAGAGGAGCGUGGAAUUCCGGGUGGAGUGGUGAAAUGCGUAGAGAUCCGGAGGAACACCAGAGGCGAAAGCGGGGCUCUGGGCCGCACCUGACGCUGAACUGCGAAAGCCAGGGGAGCGAACGGGAUUAGAUACCCCGGUAGUCC